rnacentral:rRNA from 1 species
GAUGAACGCUAGCUACAGGCUUAACACAUGCAAGUCGAGGGGAAACGACAUCGAAAGCUUGCUUUUGAUGGGCGUCGACCGGCGCACGGGUGAGUAACGCGUAUCCAACCUGCCCACCACUUGGGGAUAACCUUGCGAAAGUAAGACUAAUACCCAAUGAUAUCUCUAGAAGACAUCUGAAAGAGAUUAAAGAUUUAUCGGUGAUGGAUGGGGAUGCGUCUGAUUAGCUUGUUGGCGGGGUAGCGGCCCACCAAGGCGACGAUCAGUAGGGGUUCUGAGAGGAAGGUCCCCCACAUUGGAACUGAGACACGGUCCAAACUCCUACGGGAGGCAGCAGUGAGGAAUAUUGGUCAAUGGGCGAGAGCCUGAACCAGCCAAGUAGCGUGCAGGAUGACGGCCCUAUGGGUUGUAAACUGCUUUUAUAAGGGAAUAAAGUGAGCCUCGUGAGGCUUUUUGCAUGUACCUUAUGAAUAAGGACCGGCUAAUUCCGUGCCAGCAGCCG